AGUGAACGCUGGCGGUAGGCCUAACACAUGCAAGUCGAACGGCAGCACAGUAUGAGCUUGCUCUUACGGGUGGCGAGUGGCGGACUGGUGAGGAAUACAUCGGAAUCUACUUUUUCGUGGGGGAUAACGUAUGGAAACUUACGCUAAUACCGCAUACGACCUACGGGUGAAAGCAGGGGAUCUUCGGACCUUGCGCGAUUGAAUGAGCCGAUGUCGGAUUAGCUAGUUGGCGGGGUAAAGGCCCACCAAGGCGACGAUCCGUAGCUGGUCUGAGAGGAUGAUCAGCCACACUGGAACUGAGACACGGUCCAGACUCCUACGGGAGGCAGCAGUGGGGAAUAUUGGACAAUGGGCGCAAGCCUGAUCCAGCCAUACCGCGUGGGUGAAGAAGGCCUUCGGGUUGUAAAGCCCUUUUGUUGGGAAAGAAAAGCAGCAGGUUAAUACCCCGCUGUUAUGACGGUACCCAAAGAAUAAGCACCGGCUAACUUCGUG
rnacentral:rRNA from 1 species